GUGAGUAACACGUGGAUAACCUACCUAUAAGACUGGGAUAACUUCGGGAAACCGGAGCUAAUACCGGAUAAUAUAUUGAACUGCAUGGUUCAAUAGUGAAAGACGGUUUUGCUGUCACUUAUAGAUGGAUCCGCGCCGCAUUAGCUAGUUGGUAAGGUAACGGCUUACCAAGGCAACGAUGCGUAGCCGACCUGAGAGGGUGAUCGGCCACACUGGAACUGAGACACGGUCCAG
rnacentral:rRNA from 1 species